rnacentral:rRNA from 1 species
GCAGCAGUGGGGAAUAUUGGACAAUGGGCGGAAGCCUGAUCCAGCCAUGCCGCGUGUGUGAAGAAGGCCUUUUGGUUGUAAAGCACUUUAAGCGAGGAGGAGGCUCCUUUAGUUAAUACCUAAAGUGAGUGGACGUUACUCGCAGAAUAAGCACCGGCUAACUCUGUGCCAGCAGCCGCGGUAAUACAGAGGGUGCGAGCGUUAAUCGGAUUUACUGGGCGUAAAGCGUGCGUAGGCGGCUUUUUAAGUCGGAUGUGAAAUCCCUGAGCUUAACUUAGGAAUUGCAUUCGAUACUGGAAAGCUAGAGUAUGGGAGAGGAUGGUAGAAUUCCAGGUGUAGCGGUGAAAUGCGUAGAGAUCUGGNAGNGAAUACCGAUGGCGAAGGCAGCCAUCUGGCCUAAUACUGACGCUGAGGUACGAAAGCAUGGGGAGCAAACAGGAUUAGAUACCCUGGUAGUCCAUGCCGUAAACGAUGUCUACUAGCCGUUGGGGCCUUUGAGGCUUUAGUGGCGCAGCUAACGCGAUAAGUAGACCGCCUGGGGAGUACGGUCGCANAGNACNUANAAACUCNANAAUGAAUUGACGGGGGCCCGCACAAGCGGUGGAGCAUGUGGUUUAAUUCGAUGCAACGCGAAGAACCUUACCUGGCCUUGACAUACUAAGAACUUUCCAGAGAUGGAUUGGUGCCUUCGGGAACUUAGAUACAGGUGCUGCAUGGCUGUCGUCAGCUCGUGUCGUGAGAUGUUGGGUUAAGUCCCGCAACGAGCGCAACCCUUUUCCUUAUUUGCCAUCGGGUAAUGCCGGGAACUUUAAGGAUACUGCCAGUGACAAACUGGAGGAAGGCGGGGACGACGUCAAGUCAUCAUGGCCCUUACGGCCAGGGCUACACACGUGCUACAAUGGUCGGUACAAAGGGUUGCUACCUCGCGAGAGGAUGCUAAUCUCAAAAAGCCGAUCGUAGUCCGGAUCGCAGUCUGCAACUCGACUGCGUGAAGUCGGAAUCGCUAGUAAUCGCGGAUCAGAAUGCCGCGGUGAAUACGUUCCCG